rnacentral:rRNA from 1 species
CAGAGCGAACGUUUGCGGCGGGCUUAACACAUGCAAGUCGAACGAGAAUCCCUUCGGGGAGGAAAGUGGCGCACGGGUGCGUAACACGUGGAUGACCUACCCCUUGGUUCGGGACAACAGCGGGAAACUGCUGCUAAUACCGGAUGUGUCGUAGCAAUACGAGAAAGGCCCGCAAGGGUCGCCAGAGGACGGGUCCGCGUCCCAUCAGCUAGUUGGUGAGGUAAUGGCUCACCAAGGCGAAGACGGGUAGCUGGUCUGAGAGGAUGAUCAGCCACACUGGAACUGAGACACGGUCCAGACUCCUACGGGAGGCAGCAGUGGGGAAUAUUGCGCAAUGGGCGAAAGCCUGACGCAGCCACGCCGCGUGAGCGAUGAAGGUCUUCGGAUCGUAAAGCUCUGUGGGGGGAGAAGAAGAAAGUCGGUGAAGAGCCGGCCCUGACGGUAUCCCCUUAGCAAGCACCGGCUAACUCCGUAGCCAGCAGCCGCGGUAA